CCCUCGGCCAAGGGGCCAGCCUCUGCAGACCUGCCUUUGUGAUGUCAUCUUCCCUAUGAUCAGACACUAAACUCAGGAAGGCACCAAGACUGGCGGCAUGGCUUUACACCCAAACCAUCUUGGUGCUUCAUGACAGCCAGAUCCCUCACCUCACUGCCCGAGAUGGCAGCCACAUGAGACAGGCCCUGGAAAUAACAGUGCCACUGGAGACCUUGAGGAAGGGGGUCCCUUUGAAAUUUGGUGACCAACAUCCAUCCAUCUCAGCUCUGUCCUGGAGGUCAGCUAAGAUCAUGGGCCACAUUCAGCAUUCUUCAACAAACACUCUGUUGCCUGUGCCCAGAGACCCAGAUGCUGGAACCUGACCGCCC